UACCACAGGUUCUCGUAUGAUCACCGAAGUUAAGCAAUGUCGAGCCUGGUCAGUACCUAGAUGGGUGACCGCUUGGAACUAACAGGUGAUGUA